UGAGUUUGUCCUAAGUCAAACUUUCCUAAUUUUGACCAGAUUUAUAGAGAAGGGUAUUAACAUCUACCACAUCAAAGAAGUCGAAUAUGUAAGCAUAUUUCAUAAUGGAUCUAACAAUGGUCAUUUGAUAUCAUAAAUAUUAUUGGUCUUUUCUAUACAUUUUGGUCAAACUUAGAAUAGUCUGACUUAGGACAAACUCAA
rnacentral:pre_miRNA from 1 species